GACAGAGGUGGCGAGCGUUGUUCGGAUUUAUUGGGCGUAAAGCGAACGCAGGUGGUUUGGUAAGUCAGAGGUGAAAGACCACAGCUUAACUGUGGCACUGCCUUUGAUACUGCCUUUCUAGAGUGCAUGAGGGGAGCGGAAUUCCGAGUGUAGAGGUGAAAUUACGUAGAGAUGCGGAGGAACACCGAUGGCGAAGGCAGCCCC
rnacentral:rRNA from 1 species